rnacentral:rRNA from 1 species
AUUAAAGUUGCUGCGGUUAAAAAGCUCGUAGUUGGAUUACGAAGUGGUGUUUAAAUGUCAUUUUGGUUUGUUUGUCUUUCGGGGCAUUCAGGUCAACUUGGCUUUUACUCACUGUUGUCAUUGUCUUUGCCCAAGGUAUAUGCCUUGUGUGCAUGGCAUUGACCUUCUAUUUUAUGGUAAUGUUGUAUCUUUCGGGGUACAUUCAUUCCAUAUAGUUUACUUUGAAAAAAUUAGGGUGUUUAAAGCAGGCGAAAAGGCUUCGGAAUAUAUUAGCAUGGGAUAAUAGAAUACGAUCUAGGUCGUAAUUUGUUGGUUUCUACGGCUUAGGUAAUGAUUGACAGGGAUAGUUGGGGUCGCUCGUAUUGAGUUGUCAGAGGUGAAAUUCUAGGAUUAACUCAAGACGAACUAAUGCGAAAGCAUUCGGCAAGGAUGUUUUCAUUAAUCAAGAACGAAAGUUGGGGGAUCGAAGAUGAUCAGAUACCGUCGUAGUCUCAACUGUAAACUAUGUCGACCGAGGAUCCGGUAGCGUUACAUGGAUGACCUUCCGGGCACUCUGUGAGAAAUCAUAAGUAUUUGGAUUUCGGGGGGAGUAUGGUCGCAAGGCUGAAACUUAAAGGGAUUGACGGAAGGGCACCACCAGGAGUGGAAUCUGCGGCUUAAUUUGACACAACACGGGAAAACUUACCAGGUCCGGACACAGUGAGGAUUGACAGAUUGAGAGCUCUUUCUUGAUUUUGUGGGUGGUGGUGCAUGGCCGUUUUUAGUUGGUGGAGUGAUUUGUCUGGUUAAUUCCGUUAACGAACGAGACCUUAACCUAUUAAAUAGCUGCGCGAACCCAGGUUCUUUAACCAUUCUCUCCUUCGGGGGGGCGUGGUAUCAUUAUUUUGCUUUUCACUUUCGGGUGGGAGGUAGGGUAGUGAUAGGGCCUGAGAUGAGUUGGUGAUUUUUUCUUCUUAGAGGGACUACUUGCAUCCUUAGCAAGGGCAGGUUUGAGGCAAAAACAGGUCUGUGAUGCCCUUCGAUGUUCUGGGCUGCACGCGCGUUACACUGGCGCAUGCAAAGAGUUUAAAAUUCCUGUCCCGAUGGGGUUGGGAAAUCUUUUUAAAGUGCGUCGUGAUGGGGAUAGAGCAUUGAAAUUAUUGCUCUUGAACGAGGAAUUCCUAGUAAUUGCAGGUCAUCAACCUGCAAUGAUUACGUCCCUGCCCUUUGUACACACCGCCCGUCGCUCCUACCUAUGGUUGAACCGAUGAGGACUCGGGAUGAUCUUAUUAGAUCGGUCGGUCGAAAGAUCGAUAGACUAUUAGGUCAGAACUUGUUCAAAUCUUUUUAA